rnacentral:rRNA from 1 species
CGUAGGUGGCAAGCGUUGUCCGGAUUUACUGGGCGUAAAGGGAGCGUAGGCGGAUUUUUAAGUGGGAUGUGAAAUCCCCGGGCUCAACCCGGGGGCUGCAUUCCAAACUGGAAAUCUAGAGUGUCGGAGAGGAAAGCAGAAUUCCUAGUGUAGCGGUGAAAUGCGUAGAGAUUAGGAAGAAUACCAGUGGCGAAGGCGGCUUUCUGGACGAUAACUGACGCUGAGGCUCGAAAGCGUGGGGAGCAAACAGGAUU